rnacentral:lncRNA from 1 species
GGUACAGGUACCCCUGAUGUAGGAGUUUGCGAUGACAUCCAGUUGAAGUGGGAGUUCGAUGAGGACAGCGGCACGCUGUAUGUGACUUAUCCCGAGGACUAGAGGCCGUGGUCGUGAUCGUGGGACCAGCAUGCAGGAUAUCAUAGCUUUUGCCGUUUAUCUUGUCCGUAGUCGGACCAUUCCAUGUGUUGAAUAAUGUAUGACUGCAUGACUAUGUAUUUUAUCAGAUGGCAAGUGUAUGCCCUACUUGUCACUCUUUCAGUUAUUUACAUUGCUAUGA